rnacentral:tRNA from 1 species
AAGAUUUUAAGUUAAAAAAACUAAUAACCUUCAAAGUUAUAAAUAUAGGAUUUCCUUUAAAUCUUA